CAGAACAUAAUUUAAUUAGAAUGCCGGUUUUGGGGAUCGGUAGAAAAGGUUUAAGUCCUUUUGUUUUGA
rnacentral:tRNA from 1 species